GUGGCGGACGGGGGAGUAACACGUGGGUAACCUGCCCUUAAGUGGGGGAUAACAUUUGGAAACAGAUGCUAAUACCGCAUAGAUCCAAGAACCGCAUGGUUCUUGGCUGAAAGAUGGCGUAAGCUAUCGCUUUUGGAUGGACCCGCGGCGUAUUAGCUAGUUGGUGAGGUAAUGGCUCACCAAGGCGAUGAUACGUAGCCGAACUGAGAGGUUGAUCGGCCACAUUGGGACUGAGACACGGCCCAAACUCCUACGGGAGGCAGCAGUAGGGAAUCUUCCACAAUGGACGCAAGUCUGAUGGAGCAACGCCGCGUGAGUGAAGAAGGCUUUCGGGUCGUAAAACUCUGUUGUUGGAGAAGAAUGGUCGGCAGAGUAACUGUUGUCGGCGUGACGGUAUCCAACCAGAAAGCCACGGCUAACUACGUGCCAGCAGCCGCGGUAAUACGUAGGUGGCAAGCGUUAUCCGGAUUUAUUGGGCGUAAAGCGAGCGCAGGCGGUUUUUUAAGUCUGAUGUGAAAGCCCUCGGCUUAACCGAGGAAGCGCAUCGGAAACUGGGAAACUUGAGUGCAGAAGAGGACAGUGGAACUCCAUGUGUA
rnacentral:rRNA from 1 species